rnacentral:rRNA from 1 species
AGGGAUUGCCCUAGUAACGGNGAGUGAAGCGGCAACAGCUCAAAUUUGAAAUCUGGCUCUUUUAGAGUCCGAGUUGUAAUUUGCAGAGGGCGCUUUGGCUUUGGCAGCGGUCCAAGUUCCUUGGAACAGGACGUCACAGAGGGUGAGAAUCCCGUACGUGGUCGCUGGCUAUUGCCGUGUAAAGCCCCUUCGACGAGUCGAGUUGUUUGGGAAUGCAGCUCUAAAUGGGAGGUACAUUUCUUCUAAAGCUAAAUAUUGGCCAGAGACCGAUAGCGCACAAGUAGAGUGAUCGAAAGAUGAAAAGCACUUUGGAAAGAGAGUCAAACAGCACGUGAAAUUGUUAAAAGGGAAGCGCUUGCAGCCAGACUUGCUUACAGUUGCUCAUCCGGGCUUUUGCCCGGUGCACUCUUCUGUAGGCAGGCCAGCAUCAGUUUGGGCGGUAGGAUAAAGGUCUCUGUCACGUACCUCCUUUCGGGGAGGCCUUAUAGGGGAGACGACAUACUACCAGCCUGGACUGAGGUCCGCGCAUCUGCUAGGAUGCUGGCGUAAUGGCUGUAAGCGGCCCGUCUUGAAACACGGACCAAGGAGUCUAACAUCUAUGCGAGUGUUUGGGUGUCAAGCCCGAGCGCGUAAUGAAAGUGAACGGAGGUGGGAACCCGCAAGGGUGCACCAUCGACCGAUCCUGAUGUCUUCGGAAGGAUUUGAGUAAGAGCAUGGCUGUUGGGACCCGAAAGAUGGUGAACUAUGCUUGAAUAGGGUGAAGCCAGAGGAAACUCUGGUGGAGGCUCGCAGCGGUUCUGACGUGCAAAUCGAUCGUCAAAUUUGGGCAUAGGGGCGAAAGACUAAUCGAACUAUCUAG